AUUGAACGCUGGCGGCAGGCUUAACACAUGCAAGUCGAGCGGAGAUGAGGUGCUUGCACCUUAUCUUAGCGGCGGACGGGUGAGUAAUGCUUAGGAAUCUGCCUAUUAGUGGGGGACAACAUUCCGAAAGGAAUGCUAAUACCGCAUACGUCCUACGGGAGAAAGCAGGGGAUCUUCGGACCUUGCGCUAAUAGAUGAGCCUAAGUCGGAUUAGCUAGUUGGUGGGGUAAAGGCCUACCAAGGCGACGAUCUGUAGCGGGUCUGAGAGGAUGAUCCGCCACACUGGGACUGAGACACGGCCCAGACUCCUAUGGGAGGCAGCAGUGGGGAAUAUUGGACAAUGGGGGGAACCCUGACCAGCCAUGCCGCGUGUGUGAAGAAGGCCUUAUGGUUGUAAAGCACUUUAAGCGAGGAGGAGGCUACUGAGACUAAUACUCUUGGAUAGUGGACGUUACUCGCAGAAUAAGCACCGGCUAACUCUGUGCCAGCCGCCGCAGUAAUAC
rnacentral:rRNA from 1 species